AUAAUACUAUCACCGGGUAGCAGUACUGUGUGACAUUCCGUUAGGUCUUUGAAGGGAUGCCGUUCAGUACUGCUUUUUG
rnacentral:ncRNA from 1 species